CGGGGUAUAGCGUAGUCCGGUUAACGCGCCUGCUUUGGGAGCAGGAGAUCGGGAGUUCAAAUCUCUCUACCCCGAC
rnacentral:tRNA from 1 species